CCUACGGGUGGCAGCAGUGGGGAAUAUUGGGCAAUGGGCGCAAGCCUGACCCAGCAACGCCGCGUGAAGGAAGAAGGCUUUCGGGUUGUAAACUUCUUUCGGCAGGGAAGAAAAGGAGACGGUACCUGUCGAAUAAGCCACGUCUAACUACGUUCCAGCAGCCGCGGUAAUACGGAGGGGGCAAGCGUUGUCCGGAUUUACGGGGUGGAAAGGGCGUGUAGCCGGGGUGACAAGUCAGAUGUGAAAUCCUGCGGCCGAACCGCAGAACUGCAUUUGAAACUGUUGAUCUUGAGUACUGGAGAGGCAGACGGAAUUCCUAGUGUAGCGGUGAAAUGCGUAGAUAUUAGGAGGAACACCAGUGGCGAAGGCGGUCUGCUGGACAGCAACUGACGGUGAGGCGCGAAAGCGUGGGGAGCAAACAGGAUUAGAUACCCGUGUAGUC
rnacentral:rRNA from 1 species